UUAAGGUUUUCUCACUUAAAAUUUUAAUUUAAUUAAAUAUUUACAUGUAAAUUUUAAAGAUAUAUUUAAAUAAUUUAUAAAUUGCAGUAAAUAAUAUUAAAUAUUAAGAAAGCUUAGAUUUAGGUAAUAUUAAUAGUCUAAACAAAAUUUGUGCCAGCAGUUGCGGUUACACAAAUUAGGCAAUUAAAAUUUAUUGGAAUUAGAAAAUUUAAAUUUAAAAUUAUAAAAAUAAAAUUAUUAAGUGAAAUUUUAAUUUUAUUAAAAAAUUAAUUAUAUAAAUGAAGUUAGGAAAUUUGUUUCAUAGACUAGGAUUAGAUACCCUAUUAUUAAAAAUGUAAAUAUAAACCUAAUUAGUAUUAGUUAUUGUCUUGAAAAUUAAAGAAUUUGGCGGUAUUUUAGUCCAUUCAGAGGAAUCUGUCCUGUAAUUGAUAAUCCACGAUUAGAUUUACUUUAAUUAUUAAUUUAUAUAUCGUCGUAGUUAGAAUAUUUUAGUAGAAUUUUAAUAUUCAAUUUAUUUAAUUAAAUAUAAAAGCAGAUCAAGGUGUAGUUUAUAUUAAAGUUGAGAUGGAUUACAGUAAAUAUAUUUAUGGAUAUAAAAUUUAAAAUUUUGUUGAAAUUGGAUUUGAAAGUAAUAAAAUUUAUAUAUUUUUUAUGAUUUUGGCUCUAAAAUAUGCACAUAUCGCCCGUCGCUUUCAUUAUAAAAUGAAAUAAGUCGUAACAAAGUAGUUUUACUGGAAAGUGAAGCUAGAAAGCA
rnacentral:ncRNA from 1 species